rnacentral:rRNA from 1 species
GACGAACGCUGGCGGCGUGCCUAAUACAUGCAAGUCGAACGCAGUGGGGACGGGUGAGUAACACGUGGGUAACCUCCCAUCAGAGGGGAUAACACUUGGAAACAGGUGCUAAACCGAUACGGAUGGAGGGACCCCCGGUGAAUUGGCUAGUGGGUGGGGUAACGGCUCACCAAGGCCACGAUGCAUAGCCGACCUGAGAGGGUGAUGGGCCACACUGGUACUGAGACACGGCCCAGACUCCUACGGGAGGCAGCAGUAGGGAAUCUUCGGCAAUGGACGAAAGUCUGACCGAGCAACGCCGCGUGAGUGAAGAAGGUUUUCGGAUCGUAAAACUCUGUUGUUAGAGAAGCGGUAUCUAACCAGAAAGCCACGGCUAACUACGUGCCAGCAGCCGCGGUAAUAC